GCCAGCGUGGUGUAGUGGUUUAAACGUUGGACUGUGACUCUGGAGAGCAGGGUUUGAAUCCCAGCUUAGUCA